AACGAACGCUGGCGGCAAGCCUAACACAUGCAAGUCGAGCGCCGUAGCAAUACGGAGCGGCAGACGGGAGAGUAACACGUGGGAACGUACCCUUUGGUUCGGAACAACCCAGGGAAACUUGGGCUAAUACCGGAUAAGCCCUCACGGGGAAAGAUCUAUCGCCGAAGGAUCGGCCCGCGUCUGAUUAGCUAGUUGGUGAGGUAAUGGCUCACCAAGGCGACGAUCAGUAGCUGGUCUGAGAGGAUGAUCAGCCUCACUGGGACUGAGACACGGCCCAGACUCCUACGGGAGGCAGCAGUGGGGAAUAUUGGACAAUGGGCGCAAGCCUGAUCCAGCCAUGCCGCGUGGGUGAUGAAGGCCCUAGGGUUGUAAAGCCCUUUCGGCGGGGAAGAUAAUGACGGUACCCGCAGAAGAAGCCCCGGCUAACUUCGUGCCAGCCGCCGCCGUAAGAC
rnacentral:rRNA from 1 species